UAGGGAGACCUACCUACUCAAAGUUGAACGUGAGUUAGAAAUAACGAGCUGGUAAGCUAAGAGUUGGCCAUCCCAAAGGUCGUUCGGAUAUAUGUGUUGGCUUCCAAACUAUUUGGUUCGGUUCAUGGGCUAUUAGCUCAGGUGGUUAGAGCGCACCCCUGAUAAGGGUGAGGUCCCUGGUUCGAGUCCAGGAUGGCCCACCUUUACAUUACAAGGGGGUUUAGCUCAGUUGGUAGAGCGCCUGCUUUGCAAGCAGGRUGUCAACGGUUCGAGUCCGUUAACCUCCACUGAGAUAGGUGAGAAUGAACCGAAAGGAGUUGGGAAAACUUCAGCAAAUAGUUUUGUAUUGCCUACAAGAGUAUCUGCUGGAUUUAGAUUCAGCGAAGAACCUUGAAAACUGCAUAGAGAAGAAUGUCAGGUAGAAACGAUUGUUUCGAUGGCGAAGCGAGAUGUGAAAGAGUAAUCUAGAGCAUUGAGAAGAGCUAUUGGGAUAAUUUUUACAGACACCAAUGUAAGUUUGCGAAAAAGUG
rnacentral:tRNA from 1 species